GGUUAAGCGACUAAGCGUACACGGUGGAUGCCCUGGCAGUCAGAGGCGAUGAAGGACGUGCUAAUCUGCGAUAAGCGUCGGUAAGGUGAUAUGAACCGUUAUAACCGGCGAUUUCCGAAUGGGGAAACCCAGUGUGUUUCGACACACUAUCAUUAACUGAAUCCAUAGGUUAAUGAGGCGAACCGGGGGAACUGAAACAUCUAAGUACCCCGAGGAAAAGAAAUCAACCGAGAUUCCCCCAGUAGCGGCGAGCGAACGGGGAGCAGCCCAGAGCCUGAAUCAGUGUGUGUGUUAGUGGAAGCGUCUGGAAAGGCGCGCGAUACAGGGUGACAGCCCCGUACACAAAAAUGCACAUGCUGUGAGCUCGAUGAGUAGGGCGGGACACGUGGUAUCCUGUCUGAAUAUGGGGGACCAUCCUCCAAGGCUAAAUACUCCUGACUGACCGAUAGUGAACCAGUACCGUGAGGGAAAGGCGAAAAGAACCCCGGCGAGGGGAGUGAAAAAGAACCUGAAACCGUGUACGUACAAGCAGUGGGAGCACGCUUAGGCGUGUGACUGCGUACCUUUUGUAUAAUGGGUCAGCGACUUAUAUUCUGUAGCAAGGUUAACCGAAUAGGGGAGCCGAAGGGAAACCGAGUCUUAACUGGGCGUUAAGUUGCAGGGUAUAGACCCGAAACCCGGUGAUCUAGCCAUGGGCAGGUUGAAGGUUGGGUAACACUAACUGGAGGACCGAACCGACUAAUGUUGAAAAAUUAGCGGAUGACUUGUGGCUGGGGGUGAAAGGCCAAUCAAACCGGGAGAUAGCUGGUUCUCCCCGAAAGCUAUUUAGGUAGCGCCUCGUGAAUUCAUCUCCGGGGGUAGAGCACUGUUUCGGCAAGGGGGUCAUCCCGACUUACCAACCCGAUGCAAACUGCGAAUACCGGAGAAUGUUAUCACGGGAGACACACGGCGGGUGCUAACGUCCGUCGUGAAGAGGGAAACAACCCAGACCGCCAGCUAAGGUCCCAAAGUCAUGGUUAAGUGGGAAACGAUGUGGGAAGGCCCAGACAGCCAGGAUGUUGGCUUAGAAGCAGCCAUCAUUUAAAGAAAGCGUAAUAGCUCACUGGUCGAGUCGGCCUGCGCGGAAGAUGUAACGGGGCUAAACCAUGCACCGAAGCUGCGGCAGCGACGCUGAUGCGUUGUUGGGUAGGGGAGCGUUCUGUAAGCCUGCGAAGGUGUGCUGUGAGGCAUGCUGGAGGUAUCAGAAGUGCGAAUGCUGACAUAAGUAACGAUAAAGCGGGUGAAAAGCCCGCUCGCCGGAAGACCAAGGGUUCCUGUCCAACGUUAAUCGGGGCAGGGUGAGUCGACCCCUAAGGCGAGGCCGAAAGGCGUAGUCGAUGGGAAACAGGUUAAUAUUCCUGUACUUGGUGUUACUGCGAAGGGGGACGGAGAAGGCUAUGUUGGUAGGGCGACGGUUGUCCCGGUUUAAGCGUGUAGGCUGGUUUUCCAGGCAAAUCCGGAAAAUCAAGGCUGAGGCGUGAUGACGAGGCACUACGGUGCUGAAGCAACAAAUGCCCUGCUUCCAGGAAAAGCCUCUAAGCAUCAGGUAACAUCAAAUCGUACCCCAAACCGACACAGGUGGUCAGGUAGAGAAUACCAAGGCGCUUGAGAGAACUCGGGUGAAGGAACUAGGCAAAAUGGUGCCGUAACUUCGGGAGAAGGCACGCUGAUAUGUAGGUGAAGUCCCUUGCGGAUGGAGCUGAAAUCAGUCGAAGAUACCAGCUGGCUGCAACUGUUUAUUAAAAACACAGCACUGUGCAAACACGAAAGUGGACGUAUACGGUGUGACGCCUGCCCGGUGCCGGAAGGUUAAUUGAUGGGGUUAGCGCAAGCGAAGCUCUUGAUCGAAGCCCCGGUAAACGGCGGUACGUAACUAUAACGGUCCUAAGGUAGCGAAAUUCCUUGUCGGGUAAGUUCCGACCUGCACGAAUGGCGUAAUGAUGGCCAGGCUGUCUCCACCCGAGACUCAGUGAAAUUGAACUCGCUGUGAAGAUGCAGUGUACCCGCGGCAAGACGGAAAGACCCCGUGAACCUUUACUAUAGCUUGACACUGAACAUUGAGCCUUGAUGUGUAGGAUAGGUGGGAGGCUUUGAAGUGUGGACGCCAGUCUGCAUGGAGCCGACCUUGAAAUACCACCCUUUAAUGUUUGAUGUUCUAACGUGGACCCGUGAUCCGGGUUGCGGACAGUGUCUGGUGGGUAGUUUGACUGGGGCGGUCUCCUCCUAAAGAGUAACGGAGGAGCACGAAGGUUGGCUAAUCCUGGUCGGACAUCAGGAGGUUAGUGCAAUGGCAUAAGCCAGCUUGACUGCGAGCGUGACGGCGCGAGCAGGUGCGAAAGCAGGUCAUAGUGAUCCGGUGGUUCUGAAUGGAAGGGCCAUCGCUCAACGGAUAAAAGGUACUCCGGGGAUAACAGGCUGAUACCGCCCAAGAGUUCAUAUCGACGGCGGUGUUUGGCACCUCGAUGUCGGCUCAUCACAUCCUGGGGCUGAAGUAGGUCCCAAGGGUAUGGCUGUUCGCCAUUUAAAGUGGUACGCGAGCUGGGUUUAGAACGUCGUGAGACAGUUCGGUCCCUAUCUGCCGUGGGCGCUGGAGAACUGAGGGGGCUGCUCCUAGUACGAGAGGACCGGAGUGGACGCAUCACUGGUGUUCGGGUUGUCAUGCCAAUGGCACUGCCCGGUAGCUAAAUGCGGAAGAGAUAAGUGCUGAAAGCAUCUAAGCACGAAACUUGCCCCGAGAUGAGUUCUCCCUGACUCCUUGAGAGUCCUGAAGGAACGUUGAAGACGACGACGUUGAUAGGCCGGGUGUGUAAGCGCAGCGAUGCGUUGAGCUAACCGGUACUAAUGAACCGUGAGGCUUAACCUU
rnacentral:rRNA from 1 species